GCUAAAUGUUUCCUUUGGUGGUGAAACGUUUUAGAGACACUGAUCUUAUAUUUUUGUUUUGUCUGUGUCAGGCAGGAGUUGACUCUGGAGCUGGAGCAGGAGCAGAGGGAGCAGCAGACCUCCUCACACCUGAUCCAGGAGCACAGCAAACUGAAGGAGGACCACAGCAGCCUGACGUCCUACCACCAGGGCCUGAAGACCAAGCUCCGGAUGAUCCAGAGCCAACAGGACAGUUAGAGCUCGUCUGUACAUACGACCCGGCGACGACAAAUACAACAAUGUCAGAGCCAGAUCCUUUUUAAGGAACAAACGUGAGCUGCUCCUGCUCACACGUCUCCUCCUGUCACUCAAGUUUAGUUCUAUAUAUUAAUAGUGCUUUUUAAUAACUUCAGCUGAACAAACUGCUUCACAUGAGCAAAAAAAAAUACAGUACAUUCAGAAUUAACACCAAAUGUUUAGAAAAAGUGCAUCAAAAUACCAAGAAAUCCCGUUUCGCUUGUGUUAAAUGUGUUUUUUUGGAGUUAAAGACUGAAAGAACCUCACAGGAGAGAGACGCUCAGCUCCAAAAACAGUUUAUCGUCACAGAUGAGCUCAUGAUUCGAUUUUUAUCUCGGUGUCGCCGCGCCCCGACUCGACGGUGACUCUACAGACUGAGCGAUGAGUGAAACGGCGACGAACUGACAGAUACUGACAAAGAAUAAUGUAGAAAAGAGCUUUUUACAGGAAACAGUUUUAUUUUUGUGUCAAAUAUUAUUGAAAGAAUGACGGAAUGAGUUAGUUUUACUUUGCCAAAUAUCACACACACACACACGCACCCCCACCCCCCCACACACACACACACACAGGUAAUAACGCCAUGAGACAGAUUUUUGUAUUGAUUCUACAAAUGUUGAACCUGAUCAUUUCUAUUAUUCCACUCUAGACCCAAGAACCUGCCGUUUUACAUCACAAAUCUGCAGUUUAAUCAUGUUCUGUCUGUUAAAUGUGACUGGACCUGUAGAAACAAUGUGACUUUAAACACACAGUUCAGUUCAUCUUUAUUCCAUUUUUAAAACAAAAGAGGACAGAGACAAAACAAACAGUAACAUUUAUGUUUUAAAAAGACGACCCUGUCCUCACACCAGUGUCUCCCCCUGUGGGACUGAUGGAAAACUGCACUGACCCUUAUGUUUGUGACUUUAUUAUUUUAUUUUCUGACGUAUUCCGCUGCAAAUAAAACUGUACUUUAAAGUUCUUAGUGCAGUGAAGUGUUCAGUUGUGUAGUGACAAACGUCUCGGUCGCUUUAGUCCAUCGCAGAGUCCUCAAAACCUCCUGUAAAGUGUCGUUAUAAUAUAUAUAUAUAUAUUAUAUCGUUUAGUCGUUAUAAUCCACCUGCAGCUUUUGAAGACUGGCUUUUUAUAAUGAGUCCAGAAGGGGGCAGUGUAGAGUGUGGACCAUGUGAUUUAAACGACUUUAUGUCAUUAGAACAAGAAUGAAACUCAAACAUAAGAGCAACAACAUCAUCUAAAAACAUGAUCCUCAUCUGACACGGCCACAAUAUUUAAUUUAGUUGUGACCCUGAACACAGCGUGAGACAGAAAAGAGGACGUCUCGUGUGUUUGUCUCGUGUGUUUGUCCCGUUUGGUCCCACAGAGCAGGACACACUGAGUCAGAUGCUCCUCCAUGAGCUGAACAUGUGGAGCUGCUGCUGUCGACCAGCGGAGCUCAGACUAAACAACCACAGCGUCACACACGGGCAGGAACGAGACGAUGUGACUUUAGUUACACAAAAUCAAACUGGAAAAGUCAAAGAUGUUUGUCAAUGAACUUCAGUGUGAUUCAGAUUUAAAGACGUAAAAGUACAACAGGCUUCAACGGACUUUUUAUUUUUGAGUUAAUUUGUUUUAAAUACAGAAACCAUCAUGAGAUCUGUAACACACACGACACACUGGUCACACAGAGGACACACACGACACACUGGUCAGACAGAGGACACACACGACACACUGGUCACACAGAGGACACACACGACACACUGGUCACACAGAGGACACACACGCGACACAUUGACAAGUGUGUCCUCUGUGUGUGUCCUCUGUCCAGAGACGCACACACGACACACUGGUCAGAGAGGACUCAGACGACACACUGGUCAGAGGCACACAACACAGUGUUCAGAGACAUACGACACACUGGACAAAGACUUACAUGACACACUGGUCAGACAGAGGACACACACGACACACUGGUCACACA
ensembl:lncRNA